AAGAUGUAUGCUCAUGCUCGUUGUCGCCGCAGGGGAAUCCGGUGCGAAUCCGGAACUGUCCCGCAACGGUGUACUUGUGCACGUCUGUGCACAGGAGUCAGUCCGAGGACCUGCCGACAGCGCACCCGGCCGU
rnacentral:ncRNA from 15 species